rnacentral:rRNA from 1 species
UACAGAGGGUGCGAGCGUUGUUCGGAAUUACUGGGCGUAAAGCGCACGUAGGCGGCUUGGUAAGUUAGAGGUGAAAGCCUGGGGCUCAACCCCAGAAUUGCCUUUAAGACUGCUGGGCUUGAACGUCGGAGAGGUGAGUGGAAUUCCGAGUGUAGAGGUGAAAUUCGUAGAUAUUCGGAAGAACACCAGUGGCGAAGGCGGCUCACUGGACGACUGUUGACGCUGAGGUGCGAAAGCGUGGGGAGCAAACAGG